rnacentral:ncRNA from 12 species
AAUCUUCGGGUCUGUGGUUGCAAGCCGAUGCCAGUCGCAGGCAAAGCGGUCCACGUAAUCCGCCCAAAGCGGCGGGGAGCAUGGUGCGGUCUAGAUGUAAGACCAUCCGGGCGUGUCCCGAGAGAAGCGAGUGAGGGCGCAAUGGCGCAGAGCAACCUUCCAGAUGGCGAGUGUGGGGUCAAAAACCAGGUCAGCCGGAGAUU